AACGUAGGUGGCGAGCGUUGUCCGGAUUUAUUGGGCGUAAAGAGCUCGUAGGCGGUCUGUUGCGUCGAUUGUGAAAACCCGGGGCUCAACCCCGGGCCUGCAGUCGAUACGGGCAGACUAGAGUUCGGCAGGGGAGACUGGAAUUCCUGGUGUAGCGGUGAAAUGCGCAGAUAUCAGGAGGAACACCGGUGGCGAAGGCGGGUCUCUGGGCCGAUACUGACGCUGAGGAGCGAAAGCGUGGGGAGCGAACAGG
rnacentral:rRNA from 1 species